GUCUUCUCAUUGAGCUCCUUUCUGUCAACUGGUGGCAGUUUAUGGAUUCGCACGAGAAGAAGAGACAUUUCACAGAACAGCAUUACUUUACCUUCUGUUUCUGCAGAGGUGUAUUUGGUUGUUCUGUGAGACAGAC
ensembl:snoRNA SNORA75 Small nucleolar RNA SNORA75